UGGCUCAUUACAACAGCCAUAGUUUGUUGGAUCUAAAAUCCUACUUGGAUACCUGUGGUAAUUCUAGAGCUAAUACACGCACUUAAACCCCAAACUUACGUGCGGGGUGCAUUUAUUAGAACAAAACCAAUUGGCUUCGGCCAUUCCUUGGUGAAUCUGAAUAACUACGCUGAUCGCAUGGGCUCGUCCCGGCGACAUAUCCUUCAAGUGUCUGCCUUAUCAACUUUCGAUGGUAGUUUACAUGACUACCAUGGUUGUAACGGGUAACGGAGAAUAAGGGUUCGACUCCGGAGAGGGAGCCUGAGAAACGGCUACCACAUCCAAGGAAGGCAGCAGGCGCGCAAAUUACCCACUCUCAGUUCGAGGAGGUAGUGACGAAAAAUAACGAGACAGUUCUCUAUGAGGUCUGUCAUCGGAAUGGGUACAAUCUAAACCCUUUAACGAGGAUCUAUUGGAGGGCAAGUCUGGUGCCAGCAGCCGCGGUAAUUCCAGCUCCAAUAGCGUAUAUUAAAGUUGUUGCGGUUAAAAAGCUCGUAGUUGGAUCUGCGGUCACAGGUGCCGGUCUUCUUCGCGAAGUACUGGUUUACCUUGACCUACCUUGACU
rnacentral:rRNA from 1 species